AAAACCAAGCGGAAAAAAACUCACCGCUUUAUUUCUGGUGCAGUGUUAAACAUAAACUCAUUGUGACCUUUUUUUCUGAGAAUGUUUACGACAUCAUCCUGCCGAUGACAUAUUUAUCAAAGCAAAGAGCGGAGCAAAUGAGGCUGGUUUAUGCGAACGUCUGCAGUUCCCUUGCAUUGAAAUUCAGCGAAAGUGUUAGAGGAAUUCUGAGGAAGAGUUUCACAACAAAAGACAUUCUGCAAGAGAGGUGAGAUUGCACGAAACGACUGAACUAAACGAAGAUGGAGACGUGGUCCAACAAGGAAACAAUGUUCUUUAAUCCAGAAACUGGGAAGCUGUCUCCAGUUAAAACCGACGACAAAGCCGUUGCAGUAUCCAUGGCUGCUGACGGAUUCUUUUUUUACAUUACCAUCAUGAAAGGGUCUGCUGGUCUGUAUCAUUUGGAUCAACUCAGUCAGCUUGUUCAGAGCGUUGUGGCGAAUAAGUAGUAAAAGGAACUAAACAUGCGUGUAUGACUUGUCAUCUUGACAUAAUUGUUAUCAGAAUGGUACGAAUGUGUUUUUAAUUUUCAGCGGAGUAGUUUGUACGAUUUUAGAGAAAGUGUUGUCUAUUGAAAUUGUUUCAUUUAGGAAACUGUUUACGAGUAAGUAGGGAUGACGUACACGUACACGCAGAGUAAUCUACGAUAAAAAGGCUCAUAUAGAGCUUCUGAAUAAUAGCACAGUGUACAGCACCAACACAGUCGAUAAUUCUAGAUAGAUAUGAGCGUUUGGAUUGUUUGUCAUUAAAGAUCUCGAGCCGCAGAACUGAAGCUUAAGUUAAGUUAAAAGCCGAAGAUCUCAAAUAAAAUCCUGCUCACUAAACUGAUGUCAGGUAACUUUUCUAAAAUAUUAAUCAAUUUUCAGUUUGUUAUUCAAUUUGAACGUAUUUACUGCCUAGGCUUAGUUGUCGUGAUGUCAUGAUCUAUUUUGUAAAAUAUGAAAGUCAGGGUUGACAAUUAAUAUGCGAAAGCUCUUUUGGAAUAAACUCGUUGUAAACAUGCA